ACAGCAGUAGCCACGGUAACACGGAGGGCGCGAGCGUUACCCGGAUUUACUGGGCGUAAAGGGCGUGUAGGCGGCCUGGGGCGUCCCAUGUGAAAGGCCACGGCUCAACCGUGGAGGAGCGUGGGAUACGCUCAGGCUAGAGGGUGGGAGAGGGUGGUGGAAUUCCCGGAGUAGCGGUGAAAUGCGCAGAUACCGGGAGGAACGCCGAUGGCGAAGGCAGCCACCUGGUCCACUUCUGACGCUGAGGCGCGAAAGCGUGGGGAGCAAACCGGAUUAGAUACCCCGGUAGUCCCUGUCUCUUAUAC
rnacentral:rRNA from 1 species